rnacentral:misc_RNA from 1 species
CCGAGUUAGGGUCCUCUCACGGCCCGACCUCCCAACCCCUUGUUUAAUCAUACCCAUUCGUUGCUUCGGCGGGACGGUCUCCCCAGACCGCCGGAGGGUGCACACCGCCCCUCUGGAGAGCUUGCCCGCCGACGGCCCCCCCAAAAACAAACUCUUGAACCCAACCGUGAUGCCUAAAUCGAUUUAUUGUAUAAUGUACAAAAAAACA